rnacentral:rRNA from 1 species
GACGAACGCUGGCGGCGUGCUUAACACAUGCAAGUCGAACGGAAAGGCCCUGCUUUUGUGGGGUGCUCGAGUGGCGAACGGGUGAGUAACACGUGAGUAACCUGCCCUUGACUUUGGGAUAACGUCAGGAAACUGGGGCUAAUACCGGAUAGGAGCUCCUGAUGCAUGGUGGGGGUUGGAAAGUUUCGGCGGUUGGGGAUGGACUCGCGGCUUAUCAGCUUGUUGGUGGGGUAGUGGCUUACCAAGGCUUUGACGGGUAGCCGGCCUGGGAGGGUGACCGGCCACAUUGGGACUGAGAUACGGCCCAGACUCCUACGGGAGGCAGCAGUGGGGAAUAUUGCACAAUGGGCGGAAGCCUGAUGCAGCAACGCCGCGUGCGGGAUGACGGCCUUCGGGUUGUAAACCGCUUUCGCCUGUGACGAAGCGUGAGUGACGGUAAUGGGUAAAGAAGCACCGGCUAACUACGUG